UACACGCACACAGUGAUGCGUGGACAAGUCGUGCUGCCCGUUUUGAGCAUUGACAAGUCAGGAAAGUUCCAAGCAGGGGAAGGGGGGGGUCGACAAUCGUGUCCAUGUAAUCUCCCAACACAAUUUUAACAGCUGAAAAUGCGUGAUCAGAUACAAGAUACUUAACCAGAGUACCAGAAAGAAACAAAGAAAGGAAAAUAAAGAGAGACAGUGACUACAAAAUGGCGUUAACAAUUCUGGUGCAGUGGUAGCAGUGCGCCUUCGAGCUGCCGGAGAUUGCAUUACAGCGGGUGUUUUAAUUUCGCUGGGUCACUAGGUUGAUAGGGAGAUUCUUCCUAUUGUUAUUGUUGGUAUUACUUUAUAGUUUGUUAUUGUUAUUGUUGUUUUUUUUAGUUGUUGUUGUUGUUGUUGUUUGAAUUUACACCACCUGGACACCUGGUCUAUAAAUAUUGUCAAUCAAGUUUGCUAAACGUAAUAUAUUAAUAAAAAUCAUUUAAAAAAAUACUGAAAAAAAUAUGGAUCAAACAUUAACGUCAACCACACGGCGACGUGGGCACCAACAUCAUCCACGACACGCGACCAGAAGAAGACUCGACAUAUCCAACAGAGGACCCGCGCAGUGUGGCCCUGUUGCUGUUGAUAAAAAUUUUACACAAAUAGAGAAUUUUAUUGAACCAGAUGACAAGUGCCAAAAGUCUGUCACUUUGUCAGUCACAGUAUCUUUGGACCAUCCUUGUCCUGAUGCCAGCAACCUUUCAGGACAGUUGGACGAAUCUGUUGAUUUGCUCGAAUUAAGGCCCGCGCAGUGUGGCCGGACCAAAGAUAAAAACGAGUCUACUGAUAACGAUCUGGCUCGCCGCAGGGUUAACCUACAAGUCAAGGACAAUAGAGAUAGCAAUAAUACAACUAAUAACAGUGAUAACAAAAGGAUUGAUGAUUUUGAUUUUGAUUUUGAUUUUGAUGAGCUAAAAGGGUCAAGUAGUCCCGAGCCUGAGCACGCGGUCGCAAGGGCUCGUGGUGACGGUCAUUCUGAUGAUGAAGCGCCCAAUGAAGAAGACCCUGAGUUGGUAGAACUUGCUAAACUUAGGUGUCCCAGUGAGAGGACUGAAGUCACCGCUGAGAGAGAGGCCAGGAGGAGGAAGAGAUGCGCUGAUUAUCCAGGACUCGCUUUUGGCUCCUCGAUUUUCUCCAGCGACACUAUGAUGAAGUUCAGCCUUAUCAGAAAUGAGCUUCAGAACAUCAUGGGCAAUCAGCUUAAAAGGGCUGAAUCAGAAGUAGCAGCCCUCAACCGUCGUAUCCAGCUGCUCGAGGAAGAUCUUGAGAGAUCUGAGGAGCGUUUAGCAACCGCAACUGCUAAGCUUGCAGAAGCUUCUCAAGCUGCCGAUGAGAGCGAACGCGCCCGGAAAAUACUCGAGAACAGAAGCUUGGCAGACGAAGAGCGUAUGGAUGCUCUUGAGAACCAGCUGAAGGAGGCUAGAUUCUUAGCUGAAGAGGCCGACAAGAAAUACGAUGAGGUCGCCCGUAAAUUGGCUAUGGUUGAAGCAGAUCUCGAGCGUGCUGAGGAACGUGCCGAAGCUGGAGAAUCAAAAAUCGUUGAAUUGGAAGAAGAGCUACGUGUUGUCGGUAACAACCUCAAGUCUUUGGAGGUGUCAGAAGAGAAGGCGACACAAAGAGAGGAAAACUUUGAGGGACAAGUGAAGAUUCUUGACAGUCAGCUUAAGGAGGCUGAAGCGCGUGCUGAGUUCGCCGAGAGAUCGGUUCAAAAGUUACAGAAGGAGGUCGACAGGCUCGAGGAUGAAAUGUUGGAAGAGAAAGAAAGAUACAAGGCGAUCGGCGACGGAUUGGACAAUACUUUUGAAGAGCUUUAUGGAAUUUAAAUAAUGCUAAAGCCUAAUUAACUUUCGCUUUUUUUAGACUUUGCUAAUUAAUUAUAACGCUCACGAACUGGUUCACGAGAAGGAAAAG
rnacentral:misc_RNA from 1 species